rnacentral:lncRNA from 1 species
CCUUGCUACACAUACACCAGAUCAAACUUUAAUGGGCAUUCAUUUCCCACUCUAAUGCUAAAAACCGAACAUACUUCUAAAAUUGAAAACAAAUAAAUCACUAGCCAAAUAAAGUGUGCCUUGCCAGCAUAAAUGCAGUGAAACUACAACUAAACAUUAUUUUCAAAUCACAAAUUAAGUGGGGACUAUUCUCAUAGACAGUAACUAUAAGUACAAAGUGACUCUUGGCACACCUUGAGAAGCUAGUCACACCUUGAAAAGCUAGUUAAACAUCAAUACAAUUUUUGAGAAAAUCUGAUUACAUAUGGAAGUACCAACAUAUCGUACAUAAACACUUGCGAACAACAAUUUGAAAGUCUUUUUCCUGACACAACAUCCUAAACCAUCCAAAUACACAACAUAUUCAGAUUUCGUUCUCCAAAACUUGUUUUCCUUUGUGCAUAUUUAUUCUAAGCGAGAUCUUCAAGUCUUUUUCGUCAGUUAGCUUAGCAAGCAUUUUUAACAUUUGCGACAAAUCAUCAACGUGUUUGCCUCCAUUUCUGAUGUACUUGAUUCACCAUCAUUAUGCAAUGGACACGUUUUGUCAAGGAAUUUGUUACACCACUUGAAGUACCUACAAUCACGAGUACAACAAUGGAAAAAUAGCCAUUAUGAUCAUUGUUCUUUUCGACCUCCAUCCAUUUGAUGAAGCCCAAACCACAAUUUGGAUAGCUUCUCUUUCUCGGGCACUCUGGCAGCAUAUAUCCCCUUUAUCUACAACGACAUAUUCCCCGAUUCUUGCUUUCCAUCGACCUAGUCUAUUUCAACCACAUUAAACAACCACAUCAACAUGUAAACAUAUCAUUCUCACAAAUUAACUUGCUUCAAUUCAACCAUAUGAUCUAGCAAAACAGGAAAUCACUCAUUCUCUUCGUUGUCCAAUGGAAAGAUGCUUAAAAUUGAAAACACCACUAUAGCAUUUUCUUUGAUCCAGUAAAACAGGAAAUCGUAAAUAUACCUCGUUUGAAGGUUAAGAUUGAAGCUCAGCAUUUCAAAACUAAGAUUUUCCUUACAUCUAAAAUGGAAAGAAAAAUGAAGAUGCAUAAAUCAGAAAUUAUUUUUUCGCAUACAGUAAAACUCAAGCAUAAUUGAAUGAGCCCAGCAUUGUUAAACUAUGUUUUCGAAACUAAUUUUUCUUCCUUAUUCAUAAAACUAAAAGAAGAUUGAAGAAGCUUAAAGCCCAAUUUUUUUUCCUUCGUACACAGUAAACCCCAAACUCUUAGGCGACAAGCCCAGCACUGUCAAACUAUUUUUGGCACACACUAAAGUUGAUAAAAAAUCAAAGACUCUUAUUUUGUCUUUAGCAUAUGAUGAAACAAGAAAUUAUUGCGUUAAUAAUGAAAUAAUAUCACAAAACCGAAAAUGCACAUCGUUGCUUCCUUCUCUUUCUCUUACCUACGUGAUUGAUGUAUUCGGUGGUCUCUUGCCAACAGGGAAGAAGGAAGUAUUGUCUAACAGUCGAUGAAGCGUUCGAAAGUGGCGAUUAUUUGUGUAGUAGCCUAAAAAACAGGGCAACUGAAGCGUAAAUGUAAAUGGGAAAGUGAAAUUGAAUUAGGGAAGAGGGAUUUCUUUGUUUCAGCCUGGGUCACUUACAAGAAAAUCGGCUUUCUCAGCUUUUUGUUUUUUUUUUUAACUUUCCACGUCAGCACUGUAUGGUAUGCUGUACGGGCUACUGUACAUGAAGCGAAAUUGUUCGUAAAAAUAUGACAAAUGCGUUUCCAUCACUUGUCGCAGGGCCCUGUUAGUCUAGAACGAAAUGAAUUUUGGUUUCUAGAGGAGAAAACUGAAAUGAUAUAAACAUAGACGACAAUAUUAAAUAAUUACCUAUACUAUGCUGAUUUUAUGGCUGAUAUUGGAUCUCACGAGAGAUCUAUUGACUCUCUGGGGGACAUGGAGGAGUUUUUGAGACAAAGAUCACAAGCUAAGUGGCUGAAUAAUUGGGUAGACUACAAAAUAUUUCCACUAGCUUCUAGUCGAGGACAGAAAAAUUACAUCUCCGACCUUAAAAAUGCAUACAACUAAUUGGUGGAGGAAAUGACAAUAUUUUUCUUUCUUUGGAAGAUUGCAUUGAUACUAUCUAGAGUAGCCUGAGGCCCUAGGUAACAAAGUUAAAGGCAAUAGUAAGUAGGUUGGAGGAUACUUUUUCUACUGCUUAUGCAGCAAAAUUGGGAUGCCCAUUCACGACAUGCUAUUAAACACUCAGAAAUCACUAAAGCUCUUAAUCUCAAUUGGUUUCACGCAGUUUUCUAUUUGAAACACUAGUAUUUUCUGGGGUCUUAAAUAUCUUUAUUCUUUGGCUGUGUUGAGUUUUUGACCUCUAUCAACUCCAUUAAACUAACUAGAGUGAUUCUGUACCAAUAAGCUGAUUACAAAUUAUGUGACAGUGGUAUUCAAAUCUCUCACCCUAUCUGUCCCUUCUAUGUGUUGUUAGUCCCAAAAACAUUUGUAAAACCCAAUUUAAACCCAAAAUACUUUGUAAGAAAGAACAUGAAGAAUUGUUUUAUCCCCAAGGCCCCGGACAUUCAAUUUUCAGCCUAAUCACCACGUUGAACAUUUGCAAGUAGAUAUAACUCUAUAUACACUAGAAUCAACCAAGAAUUGUUACAAAUGUAUGAAAAAAGAGAUCUCUUCACUCAAAUUUCCUCUUGCCUCUCUAAAAUUACAACAAGGUAAUCUCCUUACAAUCUCUUCGAUUGCUCACUGAAAAUAAUCAAGAAAAUCCUCAUCAAAAGAUUACAGAGAAUGAAUACAAAGCACUCAAAGAUUGAAACCAUAGAGUACACAAAAGCCACAAAACAAUAUGAGAGGUGUUUGAGGCAAUAUAUUCCAGGCUGAAAGUCACCAAUGCAGCAACUGGGAGAAGGCAUGUGUAAGGCUAGAUCUUAGCCUUUAACAGAGGCAAAGUUGCAUUUUCAGCAAACAUAAUUCUAUGAAGUAAAUGGGCUUAGACCCUGAAACACAUAUACACCAGCCCAAGUCCAGUAUAUCCAAUAAUAGUGAGGCAACCCAAACUCAACAAUUUCUACCUUGCUAAACUAUUCUUGACCUCAACUAAUGUAUCUAGACAUCAACUUGUUUCACUUGCUCUUAUUUAACCGUAAAAAAGAAAAAUUAAUAAACUUAGUGAACAUUUAAAAACAAUGCAACUUGAUAUUCUAAAUACACUACCUUCCAAGUGAAAUUUAGAAUCUUCGAGCAGUUUUUAAAUUUAUUUAAAGAUAAUAUUUUGUUUCCGAGAUCGAAAGGAUUAAAUUUAAUUGGCUUUUUACCAAAAUAAUCAGGCAUUUCUCAACCAUGUUCCUCACAUAUUGAAACUUUAUAUCAAUAUGUUUUGUUAUAUCAAGGUAUAUAGAAUUUUUUUCCAAGGUGAAUGGCAUUGUGAUUAUUAGUAUAUACCCUAACCAUUUCAUUUAUGUUAUGAAACCAAUUUCAUUUAACAAUCCUCUCAGCCAAAGACUUUCUUUAAUAGCAGCACAAGCCGCAAUAUAUUCUGCCUUUGUCAAAAAAGGUUACUAGCUUUCGCAAUUGCAUUUUCCAACUAAUAUAUCAUCACACUGUGUAAAAUACAAGAAAAAGUAGAUUUCUUUUAUUAAAUCUCCAACAAAAUCAAAAUCAGUAUAGCCUUUAAAAAUUAUACCUUCAUUACAUCUUUUAAAUUGUAAACGUAACUCAUUUGAGCCUUUUAAAUAUUAUAGCAUCCACUUUAGAGCUAACCAGUGUGUUCAUCUGGGUUUGCCAUAAAUCUGCUUAAAAUACUUAUGCCAUAAGCUAAGUCAGGCUUAGUACAUACCAUAAGAUACAUAAUAGAACCUACAACAUUAGCAUAAGGUGUUUUUCUCAUUAUUUCAAAUUCUUAAUCUGUUUUAGGUAAUUAUUCACUAGACAACUUAAAAUGAUUAGCAAUGGGCAAUGAAAUAGGUGUUCAUUCAAGCAUAGAAAGCCUUUCAAGAAUCUUUUUCGCAUAAGAACAUUGAUUUAGAUAAACAACACAAUUAUAUCUCUCUCUUUUAAUUUUCAUUUCUAGAAUUCUUUGUUUGUCCUAAAUCUUUCAUUUCAAACUUAGAUUUUAUCUUAGAUUUAAUUAAAUAUAUUUCAGAUCUCACAUGGCAAGCAAGUAAUAUGUCAUCAAUAUAUAACAAUAAAUAUAUAGAUUGAGUUCCUCCUGACCUUAUGUAAAAGAAACAAAAAUCAAAAUUGCUCUUAACAAAACCUAAUUUUGAAUAUUCAAGUUAAAUUUCUUAUAUCAUUGUCUGAGAGCUUGUUUUAAGCCAUAAACGACUUCUUCAACAAAGAUAUUUUGGCUGACUCAUGUAUAUAACUUCAUCAAGGUCAUCGUUAAUGAAGGAAAUUUUAACAUCAAGUCGAUCCAAUUCUUAGUUAAAGUAAGCAAUUGAAGCAAGCAAAAUUCUGAUUGACAUGUAUUUUGCAAGUGGGAAAAAUAUUUCAUUAUGAUCUAUUCCUUCUCUUCGUGUAAAUUCUUUACAAGUUUGGCUUUAUAUCUCUUGCUUUCUACAUUAGAGUCUCCUUCUUUAAUUUUAAAAAAACCACUUACAGUCCACUACCUUUUGAUGUUAAACCUGUUAACUAAAAUCUAGGUUUUAUUUUUAAUCAGGAAGUCCAUUUAAUUUUUCAUAGCUCUUUUCCAAAGAUUUGCUUCUAUACAAUUAACAACUUCUUCAAAAGUAGUUAGUUCAGAGUUUAACGAGUUUAAUGCAGAGUAGAGGGACAUAAAGUCAUCAUUGCUGAUUCUAGUGGAAGAAAAUCUUUUCUUUCUACUUCUAUCUCUAUGAGUUGAUAGUCACCAAGACAAGGAUUUUGAAAUCAUUAUUAGAUUCAAUUUGAUCAUGAUCUAGUUUAGAUUGAGUAGUCUGCAUCUCAAUCAAAUUAUUUUGAUUGGUAGACUUUUCUUCUUGAUUUUCCAAAAUAGUUUAAUUAGCAGGUACAUUUCCAAUAGAUUUCAAAUCUAAUGAAUCAUUACAAGACAUUAAUUAAAAAUGGCAUUCCUACUUAUGAUUACCUUGAGACUAUUUUGACUCUUAACACAAAGUCUAUAACCUUUGGUUUCCUCUCCAGAACCUAAAAAAACAUAUUUUAUGGAUCUUAGUUUAAGUUUACCUUCACUUUAAUAAGAAUAGCAGCCAAAAAUAUUAAGUCUGGUAUAAUCGAGAGACUUACCAGACUAUAAUUUUUCUUGGACUUGAAAAUCAAUAGCAUUGAUGGACUUCUAUUUAUAAGAUAACUAGUAGUUUUUAAAGCUUCACCCAAAAGAACUUGGAGAGAUUAGAACUAAGUAACAUACACCUGACUUUUUUCCAAUAAAGUUCUAUUCAUCCUCUAAAUAAUACCAUUUUGUUGAGGGCAUAUGUUACAAUUCUGUGCCUUAAAAUUCUAAAUUCUUUAUAAAACGAAUCAAAUUCAAGGUUACAAAAUCCAAGGCCAUUAUUAGUCAUAACUACUAUGACUUUCUUGUUGGAUUGAUUUUCAAUCAUCAAUUUCCAUUAUCUAAAAUUUUUAGAAAGGUAUCAAAUUUUUUUAAAAGAAAAGUCCAUAGUUUCCUUGAAAAAAUAUCUACUAAAAGUAAAUAGAAUCUAAAUUCACUUAAAGUAUUUACACCCUAUAGGUCAACAUAUAAAUACUCAAGAAUGGAAGUAGAUUUAAGAAUUCUAGAUAUAAAAGUAAUCUGUUUGUUUUCCAAUAACACAUUCUCACAGAAAUUUAACUUUUCAAUAUUAUCAUUUCCAAAACAUCUAAGUUUAUUAAGAAUGAUCAGUCCCUUUUCACUAAUGUCGCCAAAUCUUUUAUGCCAGAUUAAAAAUUUAUCAAAAUAAGAAUUUAUAGCUACAAGACUCUUCCACUAAAAGUUUAGCCUGCAUGGUGUAGAUUCGAUUCAUCUUGGGAGAGGAGAUAAUUUCUUUGCCAUCAAGAUUCAAUUUUGUAAAACCUCGGUGAAUCCUUAUAUCAUAUUCAUUGUCCAGUUCACCAAAUGAAAUUAGAUUUAUUUGCAAGUCAGGCACAUAUCUAGUUUCAUUCAGUUCAAGAAUAUGAUUGUUUUACAGCAAAAGAUCGAGUUUUCCAAUUCCUUUUACUUAACAACUCAUUUCAUUGUCCAUCUGAGCUUGUCCCCAAUUAAGACUAACAAAUUCAUUAAGCCAUUUUUUAUAGGGUACAUGUGGAAAGUGCAUCAGAAUUAAGAACCCAUUCUUUUAUAUAUCUUUAGUUGAACUAACAAGGACUACUCCCUGUAUAUCAGGUUUAUCCUUAUAGGCAAUAGUUGCAGAACCAUCAAAAUUAUUUUUAUCUUUCAUAUCAGAUAUUUUCUUGAAAUAAUAUUUUAUGAAAUGAUUGAUUUUUCUACAAUAAUAGCAUUUCUUGACUUUGUUCUUAGAUUACAUUUGAUUAUUAUUCUUGUCUUUGAAUCUAAGAUUUUGGGGUUCGCCUUUCAUAUAGGAUUUACAAUUACAUAAAUUAUUUCUUUUAUUUUGUUCAUUUUUCCUUGAUAUGUAAACCUUCACCAAUUUUAGAAUCUUUGAACUCAAAUUUUAGUUCAAGUUUUCUAUUCCUCGAGACUAAAGUUAUGAUGUCAAUAGUAAGAUCUUCUCUCCCAUAUUCCAAGGCAUUUUUUUAUUUUCCUUUAUUUAUCACUUAGGGAAUUUAACAAGGCCACAAUUGUUGAUCAUGAGAUAAUUUUUCAUCACAAUUAUAAUGAAUUAGUUUUGUGAACUUAUCAAUAUUUUCUUUUAGGCUAGAGAAAGAAUUAAACCAAAAGUUAUAAAAUUAUCUCAAAAGUAGGAUUAAUUAGGCAUAUUCUUAGUAAGGUAAAGCGUUCCUAACUUAGCCCAAAGAGUUUUUAAUUGAAGUGCUUUCACCAACUUUUCUUAUCACACUAUUAGAUAAGUGUAGAAAAAUAAAACUGCAAACAACCUCAUCUAAUUCUUGUUUCCUAUAAGCACUAAUCUCAGCAACUCAUGUCUCAUCAAGGGUAGUAGUACAUCUCUGUUGCAACAAUAGAGCAUUCAUUUUCUAGUGUCGGAGACUAAAGUCUUCAAUUCCAUCCCAGAUUCCAGCUUCAAAAUUGUGUACAUUAGACAUAUUGACAGUUAGGAUCACAAUAACACAAUUAUACAAUGCACAAAGUAUAUCUGAUUCAAGGAAUGUGAAAAAAUUACAGGAUAUGCAAAUUUCAGAAUAAAGCAAGAAAAUAGAGUCUUGCCUACUUAUCAUGCAAUGAACACAAGACUACGAGACAUGUUAUAUAAUUCAAGUAUCCAAUAUACCAAAUUCUAUGACAAUAUAUUUAUGAUCAAACAAACAAGUGAUUCUCAAACAUGGUUGUAAAUUUGAAAGGGCAAGUAAUCUUUUAGUCCACUAAACACUCGGAUUCCCAAAUCCUAGUAAGAGAUCUUGGACAAAAAAACAAAAAAAAAAAAGAGUAAUGGUAGAAUACUUACCUUAAUAACUAGAUCAAAAUUAAUGGAAACAAUUUUAAUAAUAGAAAAUCAAAGAGAGUGGGAAGAAUAUACAAAAGUCUAAAAUCUCAAAAUUUCAGAAUAAAUGGAUCAAUGUAAGAACACCAAAAUUUAAGAAUUUCAAAUUAUGCAAAUGAUCUUAGCGAGUCACAAUUACUCAGUAGAACUCAGCAGUGAGUCAAGAAAUCAGCAAGAAUCGGAGUUUGUCAGCUUAACUCACUAGAACUCAAAACAAGUUGCAAGUAUCACCACGACUCAUAAAUAAAUCAAUAACAAAAUCCCCAGAACUCAGUAGUAAAAUACCAGGUUUUUCAGGAUCAAAAGCGAGUUAAAGGUAUUUCAGAGGAAAAACAAAUUAAACCUCAAGGACAGUAAUAGGUCAUACUAGAUCUCUUAGAUUUAACCCAGAAGACAUAAAAUCUUAAAGUGACCCAACAAAAAGCUGAAUCGAAGAGAGAUCAAGCAAAUUCCUUUUCGAAAAACCAUCUAACAAAAGCCUUAAAAAAAUUCCAGAUUUAUAAGGAAUAGGCAAUUUUAGAAAAAACAAAACCCAACCCUUUAAAGAAAAUCGCUCUAAUACCAUUUGUUGGUCCCAAAAAUGUUUGUAAAACCCAUUUUAAACCCAAAAUAUGUUUCAAGAAAGUAAAUCGCAAAAAUCAAAAUUUUAAGAACACAUAAUUGUUCUUACCUCUAAGAGCAAUCGCCACGUUGAUUAUCUAUGAGUGGAUAUAGCUCUAGAUCUACUAGAAUCACUUCACUCAAGUUUCCUCUCAUCUUUCUAAAAUUACAACCAAGCAAACUCCUUAAAUCUCUCAGAUUGCUUACUAACAACAACCAAGAAAAGUCUUACAAAAGGAUUACAAAGAUUGAACAUGAAGAAGAAGAAUACAAAACAUUUAGAUAGAGAGGCUGAAACCCUAGAUAACACAUAGAAGCCAUACAAGAACAUGAGAGACGUGUGAGACUAUAUAUUCCAACCCAAAAGUCACCAAUCCAACAACCCGGAGAAGGCCACAUGUAAGGCCAGAUCUCACCCUUUAAUAGAGGCAAAAUUGCAUCUUCAGCAAACCUGAUUUUAUCUAGUAAAUUGAAUUAGACACGAAAAUAUAUAUACACCAGCCCAAGUCCAGUAUACUCAAUAACAGUGAGGCAGCCCAAACUUAACAUGUGUUGAAGCCUCUUGAAACUGAUAAAAAAUGUAGUAAAGGAAAACUUUAUUAUGGGUUUGAAAUGUGCCAGAAAGUGUUUGAAGUGAGCCACUUUCUUCCCUAAUGACUCUCUUAUCUUACAGCACGUGAGGAAAUCAAGC